AUACGGAGGGUGCGAGCGUUACUCGGAAUCACUGGGCGUAAAGCGCGCGCAGGCGGCUAUUUAAGUUGGAUGUGAAAGCCUAUGGCUCAACCAUAGAACUGCAUCCAAAACUAUUUAGCUAGAGUGUGGGAGAGGAAGAUGGAAUUAGUUGUGUAGGGGUAAAAUCCGUAGAGAUAACUAGGAAUACCAAAAGCGAAGGCAAUCUUCUGGAACACUACUGACGCUGAGGCGCGAAAGCAUGGAGAGCAAACAGGAUUAGAAACCCUAGUAGUCC
rnacentral:rRNA from 1 species